AAAUUAACCAUUUUGAAGUGUACAGUUCAGUAGCAUUUGGUACAUUCACAAUAUUGUGCAGCCAAAAACAUUCUUUUUAAAGCACCUUUAUUUUCACAGAUCAUUGAGCACAGUUAUUCACCAAAUAUUAAUACAUGAUUUCUCUAAAGACUUCAAUCGUUUCAGCUAAAAGAGGCCAAAUAUCAAACAGCUAUCUAACAGUGACAAUUAUUUGUCUUUUCUGAGGCUGACAAAGAUUUUCAACUCUUUUCAGCAGAAAAAGUCAACAGAAAUCAAAGAUGCUGUUAAUGUUGCUGAGAAAAAGACUCAUGCUCUCAUUACACAUUUGAAAAAGUCAGGAAAGCUCAAUGACCUACAGGGUCUUUUGGACUGCAAAGACCUAGUCUAUCACAGACUACUUGACACACCCACUGGAAGAUGCUGGAAUUGGCAUCAGAGACUGGCAGGAAUGCCCAGGAAUGGCUGCAGACGUUUUCUUCCUGAAAAUUCGUCAUAGAGAACUGGUGGACAAUGGAAUCUGGUUUUCCUCACUUUUUUAACGCUGGUAGUGUUCAGAAAACUAAAGACGUAAACAAAUAAACAAAAAACAGGCUACUGUGUAAAGGGGCGCCCAGGCCUGGGUCUGAUUAUAGUUUGAUUUAACCCCUGGAAAGGAUGUUUGAUAAUGUUCCAGUUUAUGGCCUAAUGACCAACAUUAUCAAAUUACCCCUUAGGUGCUUUGGUGCCGUAUUUACAGGCUCUCCCACUAGUACUCAUUUCAAACAGAGAUUAAAAAGUUGAGAGGCCUGCAGGCACUCCUGACCCAUAUUAGAGCCUGGCCAUACUCAUCUAGGCCACUGGAGGCGUAGAUGAGCCUGGGGAGACUCCUGCUUCUCAGGAGCCACCCCUAGAUUUUCUAGUUUGAAUACAAGCCAGUAGAAGUCCACGUUGGGACCUCUGCCGAUCCAUCUGGGAGGUCACAUGCCUGGUGCCUUUCACACACUCACCAAAAUAGCUUAGAAAAGAUCCAUUCUUUGGCCGGGGGCGGUGGCUCAAGCCUGUAAUCCCAGCACUUUGGGAGGCCGAGACGGGCGGAUCACGAGGUCAGGAGAUCGAGACCAUCCUGGCUAACACAGUGAAACCCCGUCUCUACUAAAAAAUACAAGAAAACUAGCUGGGCGAGGUGGCGGGCGCCUGUAGUCCCAGCUACUCGGGAGGCUGAGGCAGGAGAAUGGCGUGAACCCAGGAGGCGGAGCUUGCAGUGAGCCGAGAUCCGGCCACUGCACUCCAGCCUGGGCCACAGAGUGAGACUCCGUCUCAAAAAAAAAAAAAAAAAAAAAAAAAAGAUCCAUUCUUUGUACCUCCAAGUGUCCCUUACUCCUUCCCCAGUAUACACCUACUACCCUAAACAGAGCAAAGAUUUUGUAGACCUUUCCAGGUUUUCCUUAGGAUUGUAAAUUUUUUUUUUUUUUAAACGGAGUCUCACUCUCUCCCUCAGGUUAGAGUGUGCAGUGGCAUGAUCUGGGCUCACCGCAAACUCCGCCUCCCAGGUCAGGCAUUUUUCCUGCCUUAGCCUCCCGAGUAGUUGGGAUUACAGGUGUGCGCCACCAUGCCCAGGUAAUUUUUGUAUAUUUAAUAGAAAUGGGGUUUCACCAUGUUGGCCAGGCUGGUCUCGAACACCUGACCUCAAAUGGUCCGCCCGCCUUGGCCUCCCAAAGUGCUGGGAUUACAGGUGUGAGUGAUCGUGCCUGGCCAGGAUUGUAAUAUUUAUUUUAUUAGCAAUAAAAUCAUGUAAGUGCAUUAAAGAAAAUGUAUGAAGUACAGAAAAUAAUUUGUUUUUUAAUUUUUUUAGAGACAGAGUCUUGCUCUGUCACCCAGACUGGAAUACAGCAGCGUGACCAUAGCUCGCUGCAACCUCCACAUACUGGGCUCAAGCGAUUGUCCUGCCUCACCUCCUAAGUAACUGGGGCUACAGGCACACACCACAACAUGUAGCUAAUUUUUUAAAAAAAUUUUGGGCUGGGCGCAGUGGCUCACGCCUGUAAUCCCAGCACUGUGGGAGGCCGAGGCGGGCGGAUCACAAGGUUAAGAGAUUGAGACCAUCCUGGUCAACAUGGUGAAACCCUGUCUCUACUAAAAAUAUAAAAAUUAGGUGGGUUUGGUGGCACAUGCCUGUAAUCCCAGCUACUUGGGAGGCUGAGGCAGGAGAAUUGCUUGAACCCUGGAGGCAGAGGUUGCAGUGAGCCAAGAUCAGUCACUGCACUCCAGCUUGGCGACAAAGUGAGACUCCGUCUCGGAAAAAAACAAAAUUUUUUUUUGUAGAGAUGGGGUCUCCUUGUGUUGCCCAGGCUGGUCUCAAACUCCUGACCUCACGUGAUUCUCCCACUUCAGCCUCCUAAAGUGUUGGAAUUCCAGGCGUAAGCCACCAGGUCUGGCCAAUUUUUUAAAUUUAUAAUAAAAUAAAACUAAAUUCAGAAACAUUUUCACUCAGAGCAGUAUCAACAUCCAAAAUGACCACUAUUAGUGAUUAUGUAAUACCAAGUCUUUUUGCAUACACAGUUGAGUUCUAUGAAGGUGAAUAUGUGUGUUUUAAUAUUUCAACAAGUUAUCAUUAAUUCAAACCUAUGCUUAUCUGGGUACACAAAUCUAAAAGCCACAGUCCCUGUCAUCAUGAAGGCCCCCUGUCAAGGAAAAUGGGGUUUUAAGCCUCUUUAGAAACUUCUUUCUUCCCAAUUUCAACAAAAUGCCAGUAUGUAUAAAGUCUACAUAUAAAUCAGAUAAGUGAUGUUUUAUUAGUAGAACCUAAUUUCCAAUUAGUGAUAUUUAUUUUGAAAUACUAAUUUGUUUGUUCUCCCCUCUAUGCCCAUAUCAUCCCACAGCCAGUUGGAGCAGGUGCCAAGUUUGAUGUUCCUCUGACCCAGGAAGGUGUGCAGAGUGGACAGCAAAAGCGGUUCUAAGGCUCUUCCACCCUCUGAAGAGGACACAGGCAGUAUUACAGAAAGGAGACUCCUCUAAGGGGCCUGUGAGCUCAUCAGCAGUGGGAACAAACGGGCCCGCCGGACCUCUGGAAUCAGAAUCUCUGGGGGUAAGGUUGAGGAACUUUUUUUAACAAGUUCUUCAGGCCAUGAGUAUGCACAUUAAAGUGUGAAAACCAUCAGGUUACAGGAAGAAUUUCAGAGGUGGUGGAGUAUGUUCACUUUUGGGGGGAAGAAAGAAGAGAGGGAGUAAGCCCCUGGACACGUGAGACUCCAGGGUUGCACCUG
ensembl:lncRNA